GCAUGGUUGUCGUCAGCUCGUGUCGUGAGAUGUUGGGUUAAGUCCCGCAACGAGCGCAACCCUUAAGCUUAGUUGCCAGCAUUAAGUUGGGCACUCUAAGUUGACUGCCGGUGACAAACCGGAGGAAGGUGGGGAUGACGUCAAAUCAUCAUGCCCCUUAUGAUUUGGGCUACACGCGUGCUACAAUGGACAAUACAAAGGGCAGCUAAACCGCGAGGUCAUGCAAAUCCCAUAAAGUUGUUCUCAGUUCGGAUUGUAGUCUGCAACUCGACUACAUGAAGCUGGAAUCGCUAGUAAUCGUAGAUCAGCAUGCUACGGUGAAUACGUUCCCGGGUCUUGUACACACCGCCCGUCACACCACGAGAGUCUGUAACACCCGAAGCCGGUGGAGUAACCAUUUAUGGAGCUAGCCGUCGAAGGUGGGACAAAUGAUUGGGGUGAAGUCGUAACAAGGUAGCCGUAUCGGAAGGUGCGGUUGGAUCACCUC
rnacentral:rRNA from 1 species